rnacentral:rRNA from 1 species
UGCGUAGGUGGCAGUGCAAGUCAGAUGUGAAAGGCCGGGGCUCAACCCCGGAGCUGCAUUUGAAACUGCAUAGCUAGAGUACAGGAGAGGCAGGCGGAAUUCCUAGUGUAGCGGUGAAAUGCGUAGAUAUUAGGAGGAACACCAGUGGCGAAGGCGGCCUGCUGGACGACAACUGACGCUGAGGCGCGAAAGCGUGGGGAGCAAACA